UUUGAUAGUGCCUUACUACUUGGAUAACCGUGGUAAUUCUAGAGCUAAUACAUGCUAAAAACCCCGACUUCGGAAGGGGUGUAUUUAUUAGAUACAAAACCAAUGCCCUUCGGGGCUCCUUGGUGAUUCAUGAUAACUAUACGAAUCGCACGGCCUUGCGCCGGCGAUGGUUCAUUCAAAUUUCUUCCCUAUCAACUUUCGAUGUUUGGGUAUUGGCCAAACAUGGUUGCAACGGGUAACGGAGGGUUAGGGCUCGACCCCGGAGAAGGAGCCUGAGAAACGGCUACUACAUCCAAGGAAGGCAGCAGGCGCGCAAAUUACCCAAUCCCGACUCGGGGAGGUAGUGACAAUAAAUACUGAUACAGGGCCCUUUCGGGCCUUGUAAUUGGAAUGAGUACAAUUUAAAUCCCUUAACGAGGAACAAUUGGAGGGCAAGUCUGGUGCCAGCAGCCGCGGUAAUUCCAGCUCCAAUAGCGUAUAUUAAAGUUGUUGUGGUUAAAAAGCUCGUAGUUGAACCUUGGGCCUGGCUGGCCGGUCCGCCUCACCGCGUGCACUGGUCCGGCCGGGCCUUUCCCUCUGUGGAACCCCAUACCCUUCACUGGGCGUGGCGGGGAAACAGGACAUUUACUUUGAAAAAAUUAGAGUGCUCCAGGCAGGCCUAUGCUCGAAUACAUUAGCAUGGAAUAAUAAAAUAGGACGCGCGGUUCUAUUUUGUUGGUUUAUAGGACCGCCGUAAUGAUUAAUAGGGACAGUCGGGGGCAUCAGUAUUCAACUGUCAGAGGUGAAAUUCUUGGAUCAGUUGAAGACUAACUACUGCGAAAGCAUUUGCCAAGGAUGUUUUCAUUAAUCAGGAACGAAAGUUAGGGGAUCGAAGACGAUCAGAUACCGUCGUAGUCUUAACCAUAAACUAUGCCGACUAGGGAUCGGACGGUGUUAUUCAUGACCCGUUCGGCACCUUACGAGAAAUCAAAGUGCUUGGGCUCCAGGGGGAGUAUGGUCGCAAGGCUGAAACUUAAAGAAAUUGACGGAAGGGCACCACCAGGGGUGGAGCCUGCGGCUUAAUUUGACUCAACACGGGGAAACUCACCAGGUCCAGACACAAUAAGGAUUGACAGAUUGAGAGCUCUUUCUUGAUUUUGUGGGUGGUGGUGCAUGGCCGUUCUUAGUUGGUGGGGUGA
rnacentral:rRNA from 1 species